UACGGGGGGGACGGAGCAGUGUUCGGUGAAUUACUGGGCGUAAAGGGCUCGUAGGCGGCCAACUAAGUCAGACGUGAAAUCCCUCGGCUUAACCGGGGGACUGCGUCUGAUACUGGAUGGCUUGAGUUUGGGAGAGGAUGCGGAAUUCCAGGUGUAGCGGUGAAAUGCGUAGAUAUCUGGAGGAACACCGGUGGCGAAGGCGGCAUCCUGGACCAACACUGACGCUGAGUGAGCGAAAGCCAGGGGAGCAAACGGG
rnacentral:rRNA from 1 species